GAGUUUGAUCCUGGCUCAGGACGAACGCUGGCGGCGCGCCUAACACAUGCAAGUCGAACGAGCAAAGAGGAGCUUGCUUCUCUGAGCGAGUGGCGAACGGGUGGGUAACGCGUGAGGAACCUGCCUCAAAGAGGGGGACAACAGUUGGAAACGACUGCUAAUACCGCAUAAGCCCACGGGUCGGCAUCGACCAGAGGGAAAAGGAGUGAUCCGCUUUGAGAUGGCCUCGCGUCCGAUUAGCUAGUUGGUGAGGUAACGGCCCACCAAGGCGACGAUCGGUAGCCGGACUGAGAGGUUGAACGGCCACAUUGGGACUGAGACACGGCCCAGACUCCUACGGGAGGCAGCAGUGGGGAAUAUUGCACAAUGGGGGAAACCCUGAUGCAGCGACGCCGCGUGGAGGAAGAAGGUCUUCGGAUUGUAAACUCCUGUUGUUGAGGAAGAUAAUGACGGUACUCAACAAGGAAGUGACGGCUAACUACGUGCCAGCAGCCGCGGUAAAACGUAGGUCACAAGCGUUGUCCGGAAUUACUGGGUGUAAAGGGAGCGCAGGCGGGAAGACAAGUUGGAAGUGAAAUCCAUGGGCUCAACCCAUGAACUGCUUUCAAAACUGUUUUUCUUGAGUAGUGCAGAGUAGGCGGAAUUCCCGGUGUAGCGGUGGAAUGCGUAGAUAUCGGGAGGAACACCUGUGGCGAACGCGGCUACUGGGCACCAACUGACGCUGAGGCUCGAAAGUGUGGGUAGCAAACAGGAUUAGAUACCCUGGUAGUCCACACCGUAAACGAUGAUUACUAGGUGUUGGAGGAUUGACCCCUUCAGUGCCGCAGUUAACACAAUAAGUAAUCCACCUGGGGAGUACGACCGCAAGGUUGAAACUCAAAGGAAUUGACGGGGGCCCGCACAAGCAGUGGAGUAUGUGGUUUAAUUCGACGCAACGCGAAGAACCUUACCAAGUCUUGACAUCCUGCGACGGACAUAGAAAUAUGUCUUUCCUUCGGGACGCAGAGACAGGUGGUGCAUGGUUGUCGUCAGCUCGUGUCGUGAGAUGUUGGGUUAAGUCCCGCAACGAGCGCAACCCUUAUGGUCAGUUACUACGCAAGAGGACUCUGGCCAGACUGCCGUUGACAAAACGGAGGAAGGUGGGGAUGACGUCAAAUCAUCAUGCCCUUUAUGACUUGGGCUACACACGUACUACAAUGGCGUUAAACAAAGGGAAGCAAGACCGCGAGGUGGAGCAAAACUCAGAAACAACGUCCCAGUUCGGACUGCAGGCUGCAACUCGCCUGCACGAAGUCGGAAUUGCUAGUAAUCGUGGAUCAGCAUGCCACGGUGAAUACGUUCCCGGGCCUUGUACACACCGCCCGUC
rnacentral:rRNA from 1 species